rnacentral:lncRNA from 1 species
GGGUGGUAGAGGGUAUUGCCUCCGUGGAUGCUUCGGCUUGACCCAUCGGCAUGGAUGUGCGACCCGACUGCCUUGGGAGAUAGCCCUUGUUGCACAGGUCACAUGGCUUGGUUGUCAUGUGGUCAAAGUCUGCAUGUGCGAGAUGCCUAUCCUGACCCUUCCUAUUUGCAAUGCUGCUCGAUACUUUGGAACCCCAAUAGUGAGAUUUACCUAGAUGCCCU